GAAAAGGUAAUGAAAAAGAGGAGUACGUACAGCCCCUUAAAAGAGAGAAUGGUUCACCGGCUGAAAGACCGUUUAAAGAAAGGCGUGCGGAAGGUAGCUUUGGAGCCGGGAGACUGAAACGGAAUGCAGAAAAGUAAGUUUCCACGAUUGAUCCCCGUUACAGGAUCAGGUCUGACAGGACCGGUGAGUAAAAAUGAAGGUGGUACCGCGUGAUUUGAACGCCCUUUGC
rnacentral:ncRNA from 1 species